rnacentral:rRNA from 1 species
UAUUAACGCUGGCGGCGUGCAUAACACAUGCAAGUCGAACGAUGAAACUUAACUGAUUUCUUCGGAAUGAUUUUAAGUGGCUUAGUGGCGGACGGGUGAGUAACGCGUGAGUAACCUGCCUUGGAGAAGGGGAUAGCCUUUGGAAACGAAGAAUAAUACCCUAUGAUAUGAUAAUAUCUCAUGAUAUUAUCAUCAAAGAUUUAUCGCUCUAAGAUGGACUUGCGUCUGAUUAGUUAGUUGGUGAGGUAACAGCUCACCAAGGCAGCGAUCAGUAGCCGGCUUGAGAGAGUGUACGGCCACAUUGGGACUGAGACAAGGCCCAGACUCCUACGGGAGGCAGCAGUGGGGAAUUUUGCACAAAGGGGGAAACCCUGAUGCAGCGACGCCGCGUGAUUUAGAAGGCCUUCGGGUUGUAAAAAUCUUUUGUAUGGGAAGAAAAUGACAGUACCAUACGAAUAAGGACCGGCUAAUUACGUG